rnacentral:rRNA from 1 species
UACAACUUUCAGCAACGGAUCUCUUGGCUCUCGCAUCGAUGAAGAACGCAGCGAAAUGCGAUAAGUAAUGUGAAUUGCAGAAUUCAGUGAAUCAUCGAAUCUUUGAACGCACCUUGCGCUCCUUGGUAUUCCGAGGAGCAUGCCUGUUUGAGUGUCAUGGAAC